rnacentral:rRNA from 2 species
GGCAAAUCCGGAAAAUCAAGGCUGAGGCGUGAUGACGAGGCACUACGGUGCUGAAGCAACAAAUGCCCUGCUUCCAGGAAAAGCCUCUAAGCAUCAGGUAACAUCAAAUCGUACCCCAAACCGACACAGGUGGUCAGGUAGAGAAUACCAAGGCGCUUGAGAGAACUCGGGUGAAGGAACUAGGCAAAAUGGUGCCGUAACUUCGGGAGAAGGCACGCUGACACGUAGGUGAAGUGAUUUACUCAUGGAGCUGAAGUCAGUCGAAGAUACCAGCUGGCUGCAACUGUUUAUUAAAAACACAGCACUGUGCAAACACGAAAGUGGACGUAUACGGUGUGACGCCUGCCCGGUGCCGGAAGGUUAAUUGAUGGGGUCAGCGCAAGCGAAGCUCCUGAUCGAAGCCCCGGUAAACGGCGGCCGUAACUAUAACGGUCCUAAGGUAGCGAAAUUCCUUGUCGGGUAAGUUCCGACCUGCACGAAUGGCGUAAUGAUGGCCAGGCUGUCUCCACCCGAGACUCAGUGAAAUUGAACUCGCUGUGAAGAUGCAGUGUACCCGCGGCAAGACGGAAAGACCCCGUGAACCUUUACUAUAGCUUGACACUGAACAUUGAGCCUUGAUGUGUAGGAUAGGUGGGAGGCUUUGAAGUGUGGACGCCAGUCUGCAUGGAGCCGACCUUGAAAUACCACCCUUUAAUGUUUGAUGUUCUAACGUGGACCCGUUACCCGGGUUGCGGACAGUGUCUGGUGGGUAGUUUGACUGGGGCGGUCUCCUCCUAAAGAGUAACGGAGGAGCACGAAGGUUGGCUAAUCCUGGUCGGACAUCAGGAGGUUAGUGCAAUGGCAUAAGCCAGCUUGACUGCGAGCGUGACGGCGCGAGCAGGUGCGAAAGCAGGUCAUAGUGAUCCGGUGGUUCUGAAUGGAAGGGCCAUCGCUCAACGGAUAAAAGGUACUCCGGGGAUAACAGGCUGAUACCGCCCAAGAGUUCAUAUCGACGGCGGUGUUUGGCACCUCGAUGUCGGCUCAUCACAUCCUGGGGCUGAAGUAGGUCCCAAGGGUAUGGCUGUUCGCCAUUUAAAGUGGUACGCGAGCUGGGUUUAGAACGUCGUGAGACAGUUCGGUCCCUAUCUGCCGUGGGCGCUGGAGAACUGAGGGGGGCUGCUCCUAGUACGAGAGGACCGGAGUGGACGCAUCACUGGUGUUCGGGUUGUCAUGCCAAUGGCACUGCCCGGUAGCUAAAUGCGGAAGAGAUAAGUGCUGAAAGCAUCUAAGCACGAAACUUGCCCCGAGAUGAGUUCUCCCUGAGACUUAAAGUCUCCUGAAGGAACGUUGAAGACGACGACGUUGAUAGGCCGGGUGUGUAAGCGCAGCGAUGCGUUGAGCUAACCGGUACUAAUGAACCGUGAGGCUUAACCUUACAACGCCGAAG